UACGUAGGGUGCAUGCGUUGUCCGGAAUUAUUGGGCGUAAAGAGCUCGUAGGCGGUCUGUCGCGUCGGCUGUGAAAACUCGGGGCUCAACCCCGAGCCUGCAGUCGAUACGGGCAGACUAGAGUGCUGUAGGGGAGACUGGAAUUCCUGGUGUAGCGGUGAAAUGCGCAGAUAUCAGGAGGAACACCGGUGGCGAAGGCGGGUCUCUGGGCAGUAACUGACGCUGAGGAGCGAAAGCGUGGGGAGCGAACAGG
rnacentral:rRNA from 1 species